AUACGUAGGGUGCGAGCGUUGUCCGGAAUUACUGGGCGUAAAGAGCUCGUAGGUGGUUUGUCGCGUCGUCUGUGAAAUUCCGGGGCUUAACUCCGGGCGUGCAGGCGAUACGGGCAUAACUUGAGUACUGUAGGGGAGACUGGAAUUCCUGGUGUAGCGGUGAAAUGCGCAGAUAUCAGGAGGAACACCGGUGGCGAAGGCGGGUCUCUGGGCGGUAACUGACGCUGAGGAGCGAAAGCAUGGGUAGCGAACAGGAUUAGAUCCCCUGGUAGUCCAUGCCGUAAACGGUGGGCGCUAGGUGUAGGGGUCUUCCACGACUUCUGUGCCGUAGCUAACGCAUUAAGCGCCCCGCCUGGGGAGUACGGCCGCAAGGCUAAAACUCAAAUGAAUUGACGGGG
rnacentral:rRNA from 1 species